rnacentral:lncRNA from 10 species
GCUUCUACCGCUCUCCCAACCACCCUCUCGACUCGCCCCACGUCUGCCGCCGCUGCAACUGCGAGUCCGACUUCACGGAUGGCACCUGCGAGGACCUGACGGGUCGAUGCUACUGCCGGCCCAACUUCUCUGGGGAGCGGUGUGACGUGUGUGCCGAGGGCUUCACGGGCUUCCCAAGCUGCUACCCGACGCCCUCGUCCUCCAAUGACACCAGGGAGCAGGUGCUGCCAGCCGGCCAGAUUGUGAGUAAGUGUCCUUGAGGCCCCCAGGUCCCCGGCCUGCCCUGGAGCCAUGGGGGCGGCUUCACAGAAAGUUCCUGGAGAAAGGGAGGAUUUUCAUUUGGUCACUUUAUUUUUGGCUUAUUUCUUUUUAUGCAAAUUAUGCCUAUUCACACUGGAAAACCUUCGGAAAUAUAGGUCAGCAUAAAGCCAAAGAAAAAAGUUAGCCCAGGCAACAUGGUAAAACCCUGUCUCUACAGCAAAUACAAAAAUUAGCUGGGUGUAGUGAUGUGUGCCUGUAGUUCGAGCUACUCCGGAGGCUGAGGUGGAAGGAUUGCUUGAGCCUGGAAGGCCGAAGCUGCAGUGAGCCAUGAUCACACCACAGCACUCCAGCCUGGGCAACAGAGUGAGACCUUGUUUCAAAAAAGAAAACUGGGCAUGGCACAUGUAUACAUAUGUAACUAACCUGCACAAUGUGCACAUGUACCCUAAAACUUAAAGUAUAAU